UUUUGUCUUUUACCUGUCUUCACAUCACACUUUUGGCUCUAUUCUUUAAACUGACCUGGUGUGAGAUUUGUCACACUGAAGUCAGUUUAUACUUCAGUAUGAAACACAAGACUGUUAAUUCAUAUAAAAACUGCUUCAAAACAGACUCCAAGCUGAGUGAACUGAGGUUCCAGGCCAGCCUGGACAUAAAAGUAAUUCCUGAGACUCCAUCUCAACCAAUGGCUGGGCGUAGUGGUGUGUGUCUAUCAACUCCAGCAACAUAGGAAGUUAGUUAAGUAGGAGGAUUGAAGUCUAUUUAGGCUGACCCAGGCAUAAAAAGCCAGGUGCUGUUGUGGUUCAUUGUCCACAAUCUACUUAGGAGGCUAAGGUCUGAGUAUCACAGUUUGAAGCCAUCCCUGGGCAGGAAAGUUGGUGAGACUCAUUUCCAAUUAACCACCAAAAAAUUGGAAGUAAAGCUGUAACAGCUUUGAGCACAAAGCUCAUAGACAGCACCUAGACCAAGAAUUCAAGCCUCAGGACUAGUACAAAAAAGGGAGUUGGUGGCAUGGCUAAAAUGGAAGAAUGUUGGCAAUGAGCAAAACAAGCUGAGGUAAAUCCUGAGGCACUGAGUUCUACAACCUUGGAAUCUGAACA